AGCACGACCGGAGUACGGGGAGAGUGAAGCUAAUGUCCCAGUCGUGAGCGCGAUUCCGUCGCGCCGCGUACUUGAGGAGCCGCACGCGGCGAAGAAGCGGCGGAACGGAGGGCUGAAAGAAGCGCGAAGAAAGAACGAGAGAGAGAGAGAGAGAGAGGGAGAGAGGGAGUCCGUUCCCCCGAAAAAGAAGACAGGACCCUGUCACGCCGAGGGGCGCGUUCAGUCCGUCCACGUCCGCUGUCGGGAACGCGACCGGAAGACCGAUCUUCCUCGCGAGAGAAGGCUGCAUGCUCCUUCCUAUUCCCGACAGGAACUGAACGGAAACUUUCCUCUCGUCGAACUGACGGACGCGUCUUCCGCGGUUCCACAAUUUUUCCCGAAGAUCUCAAUCGACCGAAGAUCUCGCGACUUCGAUUACCGUGAGUGUCGCGAAUUUCCGCCAAACGAUUCCGCCGAGUGAGUGGUUUCGGAGCAAAUUAUAGUUUUAAGAAGACGAGAUCGCCGGAUGUUCAUUUAGAGGAUCGCACUCGCUCCUAGAUGGGAUCGCUGUAGAGACAUCCUCUUUGGGAAAGGUUCAAGAAACGGUAUUAGAACAAAUAAUGAUUCGCGGAAAAAGAACGGUUGACAUCGAUCGGUAGAUGAUUAACGGCCGAACAAGAGGUCAUACAACCGCGGGACUCGCAGGCGCGAAAAGGGAAAAA